GAUGAACGCUGGCGGCGUGCCUAAUACAUGCAAGUCGAGCGAACAGACGAGGAGCUUGCUCCUCUGACGUUAGCGGCGGACGGGUGAGUAACACGUGGAUAACCUACCUAUAAGACUGGGAUAACUUCGGGAAACCGGAGCUAAUACCGGAUAAUAUAUUGAACCGCAUGGUUCAAUAGUGAAAGACGGUUUUGCUGUCACUUAUAGAUGGAUCCGCGCCGCAUUAGCUAGUUGGUAAGGUAACGGCUUACCAAGGCAACGAUGCGUAGCCGACCUGAGAGAGUGAUCGGCCACACGGGAACUGAGACACGGGGCAGACACCUACGGGAGGCAGCAGUAGGGAAGCUUCCGCAAGGGGCGAAAGCCUGACGGGGCAACGCCGCGUUAGUGAUGAAGAUCUUCGGAUCGUAAAAAGCUAUUAUUAGGGAAGAACAUAUGUGUAAGUAACUGUGCACAUCUUGACGGUACCUAAUCAGAAAGCCACGGCUAACUACGGG
rnacentral:rRNA from 1 species